rnacentral:lncRNA from 1 species
GUCUUUGCUGCUGUCGCCUAAGAGGUGGACACAGCUCCCGAGGACUUACGGUGAAAAAAGUGGGGAGGAAAUGGCCUUGAAGGUCAGGGGGAGGGAAGUGAGUGUGAGGGGCAGAGAGUGGCAGCCUCUGCCUCUCCCAUGCACUUCCUGUUUGCACCUGAGCUUGCUCGCCUGAAAAAUGGAGGGGAUGCUCCCUCCUGUGCAGGCCUGGCACUUCACAGGUGCUCAACAAAUGCAUGUUUCUUCCUUUUUUGCCCAAAAGCUAGAAGCCAAGCCAGUCUCCUCACCUGAAAAAUGGGAAGAGCAAAAUAUCCUACCCUAGAGGGUUGCUGUGAGAGCCGAAAGCGUCUAUCCACGUGAAGCACAUGGGACAGAGCCUGGCACAAAGAAAAUGCUUCCCAGGAUGACCCAGGAGAGAGGCACAAAUGUGAUGAGCAAGACAGUCUGAGAUCUCUCUGGAAGUCCUCUACCCCACCCGUGAGUGCUCUGCAGCCAGGAACACAGGUAGAAGAUAGGCAGAAGACCAAUGCCUCAGCCCAGCCUCCCUGGAAGAUGAGGAUCUGUCCCAAACAGUGGGGACACAGGAAUCCCAAGUGGAGCCACUCCCUUCUCCAGGCAAUGGAAAGCCCUGAUGGAGCCCGGUGUAAACUAUGCAGGGUGCCAGAGCCCCCACUGACAGCGCUGGUGUCCACAUGUGGUCACAGGGAUACAGCGGCAGCAUCCCAAAGCCCUAGCCUGGUCCAUCACCCUCAAAACUGCCUCUGGUUUGUCCAAGUCUACCAGGAUUCAAGUUCAUUUCAGAAAAGCAGUGGCCAGAAACCAAGGCCUGGAGGGGGCUGGGGAGGUGUCAGGGAAGGGAUCAGAGGCCAAGCUCUGUGUUUCCUCAGACAAAGAGAGAAAGCAGGCUGAGAGAUGGCGGCAGCAUGUGACACCUGGGCCACAGGCCUGGGCAGCAGCCGUGGCAGCCAAGGGGAUAAUGGCUCUCUUUGUCCUGCGUGUAAAUUCUCCGGAAAAGAAAGGAUUCCAGGGCCUGCUUCUCCGGCUUGCACAAUGCUGGCCGCCUGGGGCCCCACUGCGAGGGCCUGCCAUGGCAUUCGGGGAGCAGUGAGGCCCCUUCUCUGUCUCGUUCCUUCCAGGCGUGCAGAAGCGGAAAGUCAGGCUGCCGUGCCAGACAUUCUGCAGGGGGUUGGGAGGCUGGGCUGAGGCACAGCCUGUGCCAGGAGCUUUGUUUCACAGCCUCGAGGAAACCAAAGCAUCUUGAAGCUCUGAAUUAGAAAGAGUCUUAGAGAGCAUCCAUGCCAGCUCUUCCUAAUACUUGUCCCACCCCCUACCUUCUCUGCCUACCACUCCCCACUCCCCUGCCUUCAGCAGCCAAGAAUGGUUACAAACACAGGCUUUGGAGUCAGAGAGGGCUGAGUUCAAAUGCUGACAAUGCCACUCACAAGCUAUUUCAUCUCUAUGGGCUUCAGUUUCUCCACCUGCAAAAUGGACAUAAUAGCACCUACUCAUAAGAUUGUCAAUAGGAAUAAGUGAGAAAAUGCAUGUACCAUGCUUAAUGUGGACACAGCCUCCAGAAGCGCUCAAUAAGGGUAGACGGUCCAGUAGGUCACCCAGCCUGUACUUGAUUUCCUCCAAGGGCAGGCAAUCACUGCUUGCAUUCCAUUUUCAGACCAAGUUCAAAUCUGUCUCUUAUACCCUCAUGGGUGCUGAGGGUAAAGGGGAGAGGGCCUACAUACAUUAAACAUUUCCUACAUGUUACUGUUGCCAUAAAUUACUCACAGAACUUAAGGGCCUGUCUUAGUCUAUUUGUGUUGCUAUAAAGGAAUACCCGAGGCUGGGUAAUUUAUAAAGACAAGAGGUUUAUUUGGCUCAUGGUUCUGCAGGCUGUACAAGAAGCAUGGAGCCAGCGUCUGGUCUGGUGAGGGCCUCAGGAAGCUUCCAUUCAUGGAAAGGGGAAGGAGAGCUAGUGUGCAGAGAUCACAUGCUAAGAGAGGAAUGGGGAGGGGGUGGUGCAGAGGUGCCAGGAUUUUUAGCAGCCAGCUCUCAUGAAAACUAAUAGAGUGAGAGCUCAUUUAUUACAAUGCAAGAAUGGCACCAAGCAAUUCAUGAGGGAUCAGCCACCAUGACACAAACACCUCCCAUGAGGCCCCACCUCCAGUAUUGGGGAUCACAUUUCAACAUGAGGGUUGGAGGGGUCAAAUAUCCAAACCAUAGCAGGGCCUGUCCAGGGCCACACAGAGGAAGUGACCAGGAUUUGAGCCUGAGUCUUUCCAGCCUUCUGCACCAUGAUGCCGUAAGGGAAAACUUUAUAUAUGUGAAAACAGCUCCACGGCCCCCUCAGUGUCUUCUCUUCCCCACAGAAAACAUCUCCUAGGCCUCAGGGUUUCGUUUUGUGUUCUGCCACCAUCCUGGCCCCUAUCCUCUUGACAGGCUCUAAUUUGUUACUGUCUCUCUUAAAUAAAUAGCUUGCAGACUUAUUCCAGCUGUCUUCUGACCAGUGCAGAAUAGGAAUGCACUCUCACCUCCUUUAUUCUAGGGGCUCUGUUUUUGCUAAUAACACCUAAGAUGAUGUGGCCCUUGGACCAUUCACAUUAUGCUGAUGGCUCUCUCAUACUUAAUGAUCUUCAAUCUGCAAGAAUAACAAGAGCCUUUGUGCUCUGAACAGCUCGUAGCAGUCAUUGCAGAUCUUCAUUUCAGGUAAUAGAACCUUCUUCAACUAGUUUAAGCAGUCAAGCCUUUUAUAUAUUUGGUGGCUCACAGAAUCUCCAGCAGGGCUGAAGAGUCAGGCGUGGAAGAGACACACCCAGGAACAACUCACCAACCACUCCUGACCCGGCUUCUCCACUGGAGACACCAUUGCCAUUAGACAAGAAUGAACCUGCACACCUUGCUGAUGCUGGUGUAGCACUGUCGCUAGAACCUCUGCCUCUGCUCCUCUUGGUCUCCCACAUUCAGUACCUCCUUCUUCACCUUGGUCUCUUCUAAGCCUCCGUGGGUGCAUUUCAGGGAUUAAAUGAGUUAAUAGAUGUAUAGUCAGCCUCCAACAUGGUUCCAGUAAUUCUCACCUCCUGGUAUUGUGUCUUUGUAUAGGCCCCUCCCACAAUGGAUAGGGCUGACCUGUGUAACCAACAGGAUGUUGCAGAAAUGACAUAGUGUGACUUCAACACUAAGUCACAUAAGACAUCGCAACUUCUGCCUUGCUCUUUUGGAGCACUUGUUGUAGGGAAAACCAGCUGCCAUGUCAUAAGGACACUUAAGCAAUGCUCUGGAGAGAUCUACAUGGCAAAGAACUGAGGCCUCCUGCCAACCCCCAGCACAAAUGAGCCAGGCAUGCAAGACAUCAUCUUGGAAAGGGAUCCUGCAGCCUCACUUGAGCCUUCAGAUGAUGCAGCUCCAGCUGACAUCUUGGCUGCAACCUCAUGAGGGACCCUGGGCCAGCACCACCCAGCCAAGCUGCUCCAGACACCUGAUCCACAAAAACUUUGUGAGAUAAUAAAAUAAAAUACAUUUUAACAUUUUUUGCUUACA